rnacentral:rRNA from 1 species
CCUACGGGUGGCAGCAGUGGGGAAUAUUGCACAAUGGGGGAAACCCUGAUGCAGCGACGCCGCGUGAGUGAAGAAGUAUUUCGGUAUGUAAAGCUCUAUCAGCAGGGAAGAAAAUGACGGUACCUGACUAAGAAGCCCCGGCUAACUACGUGCCAGCAGCCGCGGUAAUACGUAGGGGGCAAGCGUUAUCCGGAUUUACUGGGUGUAAAGGGAGCGUAGACGGUGAUGCAAGUCAGAAGUGAAAGCCCGGGGCUCAACUCCGGGACUGCUUUUGAAACUGUGUGACUGGAGGGCAGGAGAGGUAAGCGGAAUUCCUGGUGUAGCGGUGAAAUGCGUAGAUAUCAGGAGGAACACCAGUGGCGAAGGCGGCUUACUGGACUGUAACUGACGUUGAGGCUCGAAAGCGUGGGGAGCAAACAGGAUUAGAUACCCCGGUAGUC